rnacentral:lncRNA from 1 species
AUACACUUUCUGUCUUUAUUAUCAUCUUCUCUGCUAUAGAAAGUGUUCCGAUGCAAGGCCACUAAAUUUAGUCUCAUUUUAUAGACAUUACAGAAACACAUUUAUUCCACCUGAAGGACUCAAAGGCCAUGGUGAAUGGGUUCCUAUCUAGGAAGAAAGUCAGCCUCAUUGAAUGGAAUCUUGUGAAAUUCUAGAUGUGAUUAUCUCCUCCAUUCUGAUGACAGCAACCACAAGGUUCAGGUUUACAGCAAUGCUAUCUGUACUUGUGGAAGCAGGAGACAACUGUAAGGAGAAGAAACCUCAUUGGCUCUUUAAUUUGCUCUUGCAGGGAAAAUAUAGAGAACGCAGGAAAACACCCAGAUUGAGAUUUGGCUGCCCAAGCUGCAAAUACUUAGGAAACCAAACAACUGGCCUGACCUCAAGCACAACCCAAAUUCUCGAACCUCAUAUAAAGUGUGAACCUAAGAUACUUAAGAGAAGCCACUAAUUUCUGGUUCAGAGUGAAAAUAAGGGCACCUACAAAACAGGGAGAGUGAGGAGUUGGGAUCUUUUCUGUUGUGUCUCAGAACUUCAGGGUUAAGACCCUUCCUGGGUGAUGGAUAAAGGAAGUCAUUGUCCAGAUGAAAGACUCAUGAACUUGGAGACAGGAAUGAAGCCAUUGAAGCAACUUGGACGUCGGGAAUUCACUGAAGACCAGACUAAAGAGGGGCUUGUUCUAAUAGAAAUUCAUCUAAAAAGUUGGAGAUUCUGUAGAAGAUCUGAUGAAGAGGGCCAAUCACUGAGGAAAAAUGGAUAGCAUCCUAAAACAGUGGGUAGUAAGGGAACCGGUAUGUCUGAUCUUUUAAAGGAAAGAGCAAUUAAAGAAAUCCUUACAGAUUCCUCCUGGCUGAAUUGUAGGCUCAAUUUCUUUAGAGUAUCUUCUGCUCCCAUCAAGCUUGCUGACACCUGUCUCUCUGAAUCAUACUAUUGUACUAAGAACAGAGAUUCAACAUCAGAUUAGAGUUUAAACACUGGUUUCUGCAAUAGUUAGGAGUCAUUGUGUCACAAGUGAUAGAUAAUCUAAUUCAAAUUGGCUUAAGCAUAAAAAGAAUUUUUGAUUCAAGUUCAUGCAAUUGUAAAGAUGAAACAGGACUCUAACAAAUAUCAUCAAAUCAAAAUAUCUCUUUAUUCUUUCUCUCUCUGUGACUGUCUGUC